CUAGGGGGACAUGAAUAUAUUUUACCUUUUUUUUCUUUUUCCGAGGAAAGACUUUUCGCGCGUGCGCACAUUGAAGCUCCACAAAAGUAGCUUAUUUUUUAAUGGUCAUAAUUUUUAUUAUUUUACAGUUUUAUUGUGAUAAAGAAAAUAUACUACCAAAACCAGAAGACUAUUUAUCUGAGAAAAAAAAAAAAGCAACUGAAGCAAAUCCGGAAGUACGUCACGGAGAAACAGCUUCCCUCUAUUUAACCCUUUAGUGAUAUCGAAUAGCAGGAAAACAAAUCAAAACUGGAAAGGGAAACAUAUAAGCAGCUAGAAUCUUCUGGCGUCCCCCAGAAGCAUCAGAACUUCUAGAAGAUGAGGUUUGAUCUUCCUGCAAGAACCACCUCACUGGCUUCAUCAUCAGGACCAGCAGAACAGUCUGAGCUCUUCCAGAGGAUUUCUAGGCUGCAGUUUCAUAACGGAGACGAGACAAGGAGGAAAAAUGACAGAGCAGGAAGUUAAAGGAGGAUCCUUUCUCUGAGCACUUUAUGAGCAAAUCAGGGAGCAGAUGAGGGGUCAAAGGUGUCACCUGUAGAGGAAGUGGUUCUUCUGCCGCUCGAAUGCCAACGCCUCAUUUUACACACACACACGUGCGCACACAUGUGUUGCAUGUCUCAGCUGGGAGCCAUUACAGGUGCUAUCCACACAUGCGCACGCCGAGCGGCCACCUCUGACCCCGUCCUGUGUCCUUCCCCAUCAUCAUCAUCAUCAUCAGAGCUCACUCCACCGCAUUCACAAUCAUCAUCAGAGCUCCGGUUGGAGGAUGAGUUCAUACGCCGUAGCAUCUCUGAACACGCACUCUUCAAAGGAGAGUCUGUGCUUCUAUCUGACCAGCAGCUGACAGUCAUUUAUGGGUUCAAACCUAAUGAUGUUUUUAGCUAGAAGACUGUUUCUGGUGCAUCAUUUUUGUGGUUUAGGAAGAACUUUUAGGUUUUUUGGUUCCAAAAUGUUGUAUUAUUUGCAAAACUCUGCCUCCUUUAAGCGCAAAUGGAGUCAGAAACUUGAGUUUUAGAAUAGAAUAAAAUAGAUCUUCAUUUAUCAUUUUCACAAGGCCAAUAAAAUUAAAAGUGUUUCCUCAAACCUCAAACAACCCCUAAUAAAAACGUACAACUAAAAAGAAUAAAUAAUUCAUACAAAUACAUAAAAGGGGCAUUAUCCAAUAAAUUCAAGAAAUUAAGAUUAAUUUCUUGCUAAAUAAAAGGGCAUUUGUUGUGUUAAGAAAACCAGGAUACCCAAUUAAAGAGUUAAAAUGGUUAAAACCAGAAAAUAUAAUAAUAAAAAAACAUCUAUUGUUGCACAAUUUAAGCAGUCUAACAGAAGAGGUCCAGAAGGAAGGAAACAGAUCAAACAGGAAAUGUUUUUAAUUAUGUUCAUAUCUAGAUAUACACCAUCUACAGGAUUUCCUUCAAUGAACAGCCUAAUUCUGAGUAGGUAGGCUAACUUUAGAUUUAUAGAAAUGGUCGAAUCCUCCACAUCACAUGAAAGCGUUCACAGAAGAAUUUAAGCUUUAAACUGUGAGAAAAUACCAUUGUGUGAGGCCUUAUUUUCAUUAAAAAAUCAAUACAGGACUAGAAAUGAUACAUUUCUUGCAAAGACAUUUUUAGAUAUGGAUAAAUUAUUCUGGAAUGAUGAUCUGGAUUUUAGAGUACAAAUAAUGUGUAUCCAUACUUGACAUUUAUUCAAACUCUAUUACAAAGAAAACAAUAUAUAUAAUAUGUAGCAAGCUUAAUUUUCUUGUCUUUUUUCACUUCUAUUUGCUUUUUUGAAGCACCCACAGGACGGGAUUAGUGCUUAGAUGCAAUGAACCCAUUCACAGUGUGCAAGAAAAGGCUAAAAAUAAAAAAAAGCGAGGAUAUCAGAAGAAAAUAAGAGGAGAAAAGCGCGGACAUUGUUUUGAAUGAUGCUAUCAGAAGCAUUAAAGCAGCAGAAUAUAAAGCAGCAUAAAAUUAACAAUCAAACCCAGAUGUUAAAUAUUCAUAUUUAUGUCAAAUCAUGUCCUUAAGUGAAUUAGGAUCACUAAAAGCUUUGGAAACCAGUAAAUAUUCAUUUCUUUAACUUUCAGUGUUUUAGCUUCUUUUGUUCCUCCAGUGAAGAGGAAGAAUUCUAAAGAUCUGAAGCAUGCUCAAGGCCACUUUUGGCCUCUUUCGUCUGAACGUAAAGUCAGGACGACCUUGUCAAUUUUGUCGUCUGAAACCACGUCGAUUUUCAUUUUUUUCCCCUCGUCUUUCCAGUUAUGAUGCAGUAGAUAACUGAAGGCGUUUAAGGUCGGGACUCAAAAAAAUGAGCGAGUUGGAACUUUCUCCAUCAGGAAUCAAAAAUUAAAAUUGUUUUUCUGAAAGUAUCUCAGGUAUUUAAACGGAAAAAUGAACAAUCCUGUAAAGAUUAUUUUGUUAUUAAGGUGAAAUGUUCACUUUAUGUUCAUAUUUUCACAUUUAUUUGGCAUAUUUUUAUGUUCUUUUACCAUUUUCAUGCACCUUAGUUAUAAAACGGAGUGUAUUUCAUGUGGGAAGGUUUCACGCGGCGAGGAAGUCUUUUUUUUUUCCCUUCUCUCCUCCGCUCGUCUUCCUGCUGCCUCUCAGCUUCCCAUUUGAAAUAUUCAAUUACCGUCCAUGAAGGGUCAGGUCAAAGACAGGAAGCCGAGAUGAUUGGUUCUGCUCAGAUAUCGAUGGGCAUGUGUGACCAAUCAGUGCGGCUCAGGGCUUUCCCCAGUCUCCAUCUGCUGCAUGAACGUGCGUGUGCACGUGCACGCCUGUGUCCAAUUGUUCCAGACCAAAGGUGUCCCCUCAGUUUCCACUCACCUCUUGACCACUGCGCUCUGUCAGACGUGUUAAUGCUGCCUUUAAUCAGUUUUACUGUUUGCUGUCGUGCACGUGCGCGGGUGCACGGAGGCAUGUGGCCCCAUCCAUCUCUGCUCUUCACAAAACGCUUCAUUAGGAUUUGACCCACCGCUCUCAUCAGAAGCUUCUCCUCAACCGUUCAUAGACAUGCAGCUUCUUUUUUAAUGACUUUUAAGCAAAUAAUAGAAAAUAUUUUAAUUUAGUUUUUUUUGUAAAAUAAGAUCAAUCACUUCUUGGUCUCAUUUAGUCAAAUUUAUUUAAAUGUGCUUUACAAUAUUAAACUCGUGUUUUUUAUCCAGUUAUUUAGAUUUAUUGCCUCACAAAUGUGUUUUAAUCGAAUAAAUUGGAUUUGAAAGCAUUUUAUACCAAAAUUCACUAGAGAUGCUUACUCACCUGUUAUACUGUGUUAUAACUAUCAGAUUAGAGGAAACGUCGCUACGCUAGAACUCUUAUUUUUGGUCACUUUGUGAUUAAAAAUGUCAUAAAACGAAGCUUAUUUAUAAGAAAAGAGAAAAAGAAGAAAUUCACAGCUGAAAAACAAACCAAUUCCAAAUAAAGAUGACAAAAUCAAAUUAAAAAAAGCG